rnacentral:rRNA from 1 species
UACGGAGGAUGCAAGCGUUAUCCGGAAUGAUUGGGCGUAAGGCGUCCGCAGGUGGCUGUGUAAGUCUGCUGUCAAAGCGCGAAGCUCAACUUCGUAAAGGCAGUGGAAACUACACGGCUAGAGUGCGUUCGGGGCAGAGGGAAUUCCUGGUGUAGCGGUGAAAUGCGUAGAGAUCAGGAAGAACACCGGUGGCGAAGGCGCUCUGCUGGGCCGCAACUGACACUGAGGGACGAAAGCUAGGGGAGCGAAUGGG